AGAUUGAACGCUGGCGGCAUGCCUUACACAUGCAAGUCGAACGGCAGCACGGGAGCAAUCCUGGUGGCGAGUGGCGAACGGGUGAGUAAUACAUCGGAACGUGCCCAGUUGUGGGGGAUAGCCCGGCGAAAGCCGGAUUAAUACCGCAUACGACCUACGGGUGAAAGCGGGGGAUCGCAAGACCUCGCGCUAUUGGAGCGGCCGAUGUCGGAUUAGCUAGUUGGUGGGGUAAAAGCCUACCAAGGCUACGAUCCGUAGCUGGUCUGAGAGGACGACCAGCCACACUGGGACUGAGACACGGCCCAGACUCCUACGGGAGGCAGCAGUGGGAAUUUGGACAAUGGGCGCAAGCCUGAUCCAGCCAUGCCGCGUGCGGGAAGAAGGCCUUCGGGUGUAAACCGCUUUGUCAGGAAGAACGGUUCGAGUUAAUACCUUGAACUAAUGACGGUACCUGAAGAAUAAGCACCGGCUAACUACGUGACCAGCCAGCCGCGGUAAUCGUAGA
rnacentral:rRNA from 1 species